GGACUGUGCUUUGACGUUGAGCUUGUCGUGACGCUAAAGAAGAUAAUUCUCUCUGAGAUCACAGUGUGACCGCGAAUUAAUUGAUAAAUUGCGCUCGUGGAAUGAAAGAGACAAGAAUUUACACAAACAAAAUGCAUUUGUUUUCCUCGUUUGCUUUAUGCGUUGAUUUUGUUCACUUCUGUACAAGAUCUAAUCGCUGGAAGAGUCUUUUGUGUGAACAUUUGUUAAAAAAGUGAGAAAAGAAAUGAAUAAAUUAUAACUAUAACAUUUGUUUUCCUCGUUUGCUUUAUUCGUUGAUUUUGUUCCCUUCUGUACAAGAUCUAAUCGCUGGAAGAGUCUUUUGUGUGAACAUUUGUUAAAAAAGUGAGAAAAGAAAUGAAUAAAUUAACAAAAUAAAUCAAAUUAAUAUAAACAGAUCAAUUGAAAGCAGUGGUCCAAAUUUUAGCGGAUCAAACUGUUUUAAUAAAGCAGCUGGUAAGGGGGAAUUGAAUCCCAUUCGGG